GCAGAUGAUAAGCGUCAACAAUUCUCGUCAUCCCGUCGCUCCCCGGAGCUACACUUUUCAACGUGGCACGCGUUCGAGCGAAUCGUUAUCAAAGGAAGGUACGAUAGGAAAAUUGAGCCCGGCACACACAGACGCCGUUUCAUAGCCUGCAGCUAUUGCACGGGGGAGGCUGCAAAACCGCCCGUCUGAGGAAGAAUAUCAAUGAUGAGGCAAGACAUCCAAGUGCCAGGAAUCCACAAGGGCCGGAGGGCGCUCGGGGCGGCUCUUCUCGUCCCAUCCUUAACAACACGUGGGACACGACGGUGAAUGGAACGACGGUCACCGCUCAUCUGCUACACGAAAGGGUAGUGGCGCUGUAAGACUGCUGAUUCAUCGACACGAGGCUACAACGAUUCAGAACCAUCCUGCGAACUACCCUGUGGACUGCCUCCUAUACACACGCAGAGCUUGAUCCACCAAGGGAGAUGGAACUCCGCUUGUUGCUGCUUUGCACUCGUGUGGCUAAUUCAACCAUUAGGCAACGUGAGUAAGGCUUGACCCAGCAGGGCCUCUCUUAACAAGCUUUGAGUGCGAAGCGUCAAAACGGCAACGCGGGGCCUUUCUUGGUUCCAGGCAUGUACAACCAGCACGUGUGAUCGUCUCCCUCGAUAAGAAGACAGCAACGGAUCAGAAAGAGGAGAAAAGAAGAUCUCUCAAGUUGGAUAGCUUGUGGCUAGUCGAGUCAGAAAGAGCAAGACCGGCAUCCUAAAAGGUGUUCUUUGCUGCCAAAGCCUAUGUCAGCACGUCUUAACAACCUGGUACCUGAGGUAGACAGAGGUGGCUUCGACGUCGUCGGGGCAGGGUCCGGAGUGCCAUUCGUGUGACUAAAACGUCCCGCUAAACGUCCUACCACCUGAUGUUAGCACCGCGAGGCGGCUGUGGCAAUGUGAGCGGCGUACAGACAUGGGCAGCUGGAAGGAGACAGAAAUGUUGGUAUGGGAAACUGUGGCCGUCUGCCGGAGAAACGAGGGAAACAGGAUUGGACCCUCCAGGUCUUUUUGAGCAUGACUUUUGUGAAAGAUAUCCGAAGCCACGACAUUCACCGUUGUUGAAGAACCUGACCCUUAUCAUGGACUCUGUGCCUUCGAAGAUCCCGGUUUGCUUGCGCACUCAGCAGACGAUUCCACAAGAUCUGAAGACUAUACGUCACCUCUUGGAACUUGGAACAUUUUGUGACCGCUAUUUUGAACUUUUUGUAGCAUGCAACAGUCUUAGAAUUGUGUAAACUGAGUGUAUACUGUGAACUCGUGCAUUUUGCACUCGAACUCGGGACAGUUCGACAAUUAAAAUGGGGGUCGCAUGAGCGACAGCGUCACCACCAUCACCUCAGCAGACCCAUCAUCAUCACCACCGUGGCAGCAAUGCUUAAAAGAUGAAGCGCGCCACGCAUGCUCGGGAGCUCAUUGGGUAUCGUCGACGAAUCAACAACAUCCACGAACUUUUAAUUACACCAGUUACCUAUUUUAUUAACUUUUAGAUU